rnacentral:rRNA from 1 species
GACGAACGCUGGCGGCGUGCUUAACACAUGCAAGUCGAGCGGAGCGGCGAACGGGUGAGUAACGCGUGAGUAACCGCCCCCCUCUCUGGGAUAACAGUUGGAAACGGCUGCUAAUACCGGAUAGUGGGGGAUGACUCGCGUCCUAUCAGCUUGUUGGUGGGGUAGUGGCCUACCAAGGCGACGACGGGUAGCCGGCCUGGGGGGGGGACCGGCCACAUUGGUCUAAGAUACGGCGCAAUCUCGUACGGGGGGCAGCAGUGGGGAACAUUGCACAAUGGGGGAAACCCUGAUGCAGCAGCGCCGCGUGCGGGAUGUCGGCCUGCGGGUUGUAAACCGCUUUCAGCCAUGACGCGGUAGUGGCAGAAGAAGCACCGGCUAACUACGUGCCAGCAGCCGCGGUAAUAC